GUCCACGCCCUAAACGAUGUCGACUAGUUGUUGGGGGAGUCUGUCCCUCAGUAACGUAGCUAACGCGUGAAGUCGACCGCCUGGGGAGUACGGUCGCAAGAUUAAAACUCAAAGGAAUUGACGGGGACCCGCACAAGCGGUGGAUUAUGUGGAUUAAUUCGAUGCAACGCGAAGAACCUUACCUACCCUUGACAUGCCAGGAGCCCUGCAGAGAUGCAGGGGUGCCCGAAAGGGACCUGGACACAGGUGCUGCAUGGCUGUCGU
rnacentral:rRNA from 1 species